AUAAACCGAAAGCACGGUGGCGUGAUAGGAGUGAACUUUGUCUUUUAAAGAUUUAUGGUAUUAAAACACUGGUCAAGAGCUACCUACCCGUUAAAGAUGCUCAUCUUCGAGGUGGAAUCGAUGAUCUCAUAGAAAUUCUUAGAAAUAUGCUUUCCUUUGGAGAUUUUUCAAAAGAAUUAGAAUCAAGUUCUGUGGAUAAGGCUCACUUGAAGCUUGCUUCUGCCAAAUCCAUCCUUCGCCUGUCAAGAUGUUGGGAUACUAGUAUACCCGUUGACGUCUUCCAUUUAGCUUUAA